UCGGCAGCGAAACGUGAUCUUAUCACGAAACGUUCCUGAUAUCACGUAACACUUUUCAACUUAUUUUGUAACGAGGUACUUUGUAUUCCUAGACUUCCGACCGACAUGACGUUCGAAAGAAAGAGGCAAAUUUCAAACAAACAAUAAAACUAAAAUAUAAAAAACAAUAUUUAUCGAGGGAUGACAGAGUGAUAGUAAUUUAAUGACUCAAACCCAGGGGUUCUCAACACGGGGUGAAAUUUUUGGGGAUUUAAAGUAGACGUGCUAGUGACCCUCCUAUAGACUUAUAAAUGUGCCGAAUUAAUUUGGACACUUACGACAGGAAGUGUCCAAUCGACUAUGAUAAAAUGAUUCGGUAUAUCUAGUGUAACAUUAAACCGAAAUGAUUGGGAAGAUCGUAUCGUGGAGCUUAGUGUACUAAUUAACAUGAGCCACUUCAACUGGGUUAAUCGAACCGAGAUAAACGUAUAUCUGCUUACGUGUUUCAAUAACUGUUACGAACGUAUCAAUAUUUUCUCGAGAUAACAAGGAAAACGAUAGCCUUCGUUUUCGCGUUUUCGCACGAGCAGUCGAUGCGAUCCAUCCCGAUAACGAUACAAAAGAUGGCAAGAAAAUAAUGGAGGAAUGAAAAAUGGAACGACGAACGACCUUUGUUUUGAUAAGCACAGAAAAUCCAGAACGAGGUGCAAAGUACGAGUGUGAUUCUGAGAACAUCUUCACGCGUAGUGUGCACACCUUGUGAUAGGGUGAUUAUUUAUUGCUUUCAAAACAAAUGAAAUGUGCAACAAAAGAUCGUAUAUAGCAGUAUAAAAAUUGUUAUUUAUAAUAGAACAAUUUUUGAUUCUCAAUUUUUCAAUUUUUCAAUUUUCAAUUUUCAAUGCACAGUUGUCAAUUUUUCAAUUUUCUAUUUCCGAUCUUCCUGUUAUUUUCUGGCAAAUUUAAGGCAGAUAAUAGAGAAAUCAUUGAAUAAGAGCUGUGCGUGACUAAUUUAUUAGGUUGUAUCAUAUCAAAUGGCUGAUUUCGAAACACAGAAAGUCUCUUAUGAUUUGAUGACGUAAAAGUACCGCAAAAUGGUACUUACGGCACAUCGAUUUAAAACUUACCAUUUUAGAAUAAAAGUAACUGAACAAUACCAAGCUGUCAAUUAGUAAAUUAGUUGAUUCAUUGUUUACUUCAACAAAGUACCCAUCAUCCUGAAUUAAGAAUAUCAAUGAACCAUCUAUGUUGUCAUUUUCAUUAAAUCCUAAGCUUUAAAUUGAUAUACCCUAAGUACCAUUUUGCAAUAAUUUUAUCUCAUCAAAUCCUAUCAAACUUCAUACGUUUCGAAAUUAGUCAUUGUUUACUGCACCUGACACUCAACCUACUCGUAUUAAGAAUAUCAAUGAAACGUUUACAUCAUUAUUUUCAUUGUACUUUAAGCUUUAAACUCAUAUGCCAUAAGUACCAUUUUGCAAUAGUUUUAUGUCAUGAAAUUUUUCCUAAAUUUCUAUAUUUCAAAAUCCCCUAUUUUAUGCAACAACCUAAAGAAAUUCCAUAAUUUUUCAAUCUAAUAUGUAAUUUUCAUGUCUAAAAUAGUCAGGGUUAUUAACCUACUGUUAAGUAACAAGAAUUAAAAUGCAAGUAGUUCGAGUAGAAACUUUAUCAAGCAUGUGCAUACAACAUUGAUUAAAAAGGAGCAGAGGAAAUACCUUUCUUAUCAAUAUAUUCUAACCGUGUAAUUAUCGCGUCAAGGUUUGCACACCUUCCAUCACCACAUAAUCACAUGGCACCAGCAGCGAGUAAGUGUAAUCACAUGUGACAAUAAGUUCCGUUCAACUUAGCACAAUAUUUGCAUCGUAUGAUAAGAGACAUAGAUUUCGUUCUAUUUUAUUGUAAAAUUUAAUGCACCUAUUAUUCGUAUUAUUAGUUCAUCAUCCAUGAUUGUACUGUUUGCUAAUCGUAAUUAAUGUUGUAAAUAGGACUUUAAAACGGAAUUGUGUAUAAUAAAAAGAUAAAGAUAAAACUGGGAGAAAGAAUAUGUUGAUUAUCCCGUAGUAUGAAAGUUUGCAAUGAACAGUUAUUAGAGGGGGAUAAUGACUGUCAUGAUAAGAAAAACUUAAGUCUAUGAUUACUGUAUAAUUGUUAGUAGAUAAAUAAAAAGAGUCCUCCCAAUUUUAUAAGUAUUAAAGUAUUAUAAUUUGAAGCACAUUAAAUUUAAAAAAAAAAAGGAAAUGAAAAA